ensembl:snRNA U1 U1 spliceosomal RNA
AUACUUACCUGGCAGGGGAGAUACCAUGAUCACGAAGGUGGUUUUCCCAGGGCAAGGCUUAUCCAUUGCACUCCGGAUGUGUUGACCCCUGCGAUUUCCCCAAAUAUGGGAAACUCGACUGCAUAAUUUGUGGUAGUGGGGGACUGCGUUCGCCCUAA